rnacentral:rRNA from 1 species
GUUGAACGCUGGCGGCAGGCCUAACACAUGCAAGUCGAGCGGAUGAAGGGAGCUUGCUCCUGGAUUCAGCGGCGGACGGGUGAGUAAUGCCUAGGAAUCUGCCUGGUAGUGGGGGAUAACGUCCGGAAACGGGCGCUAAUACCGCAUACGUCCUGAGGGAGAAAGUGGGGGAUCUUCGGACCUCACGCUAUCAGAUGAGCCUAGGUCGGAUUAGCUAGUUGGCGGGGUAAAGGCCUACCAAGGCGACGAUCCGUAACUGGUCUGAGAGGAUGAUCAGUCACACUGGAACUGAGACACGGUCCAGACUCCUACGGGAGGCAGCAGUGGGGAAUAUUGGACAAUGGGCGAAAGCCUGAUCCAGCCAUGCCGCGUGUGUGAAGAAGGUCUUCGGAUUGUAAAGCACUUUAAGUUGGGAGGAAGGGCAGUAAGUUAAUACCUUGCUGUUUUGACGUUACCAACAGAAUAAGCACCGGCUAACUUCGUG